rnacentral:rRNA from 1 species
CAUGUCCUUUUGGAAUUUAAUAAAAGGUCUGACCUGCCCAGUGAUUUAUUUAACGGCCGCGGUAUACUGACCGUGCAAAGGUAGCAUAAUCAUUAGUCUUUUAAAAGAGGGCUGGAAUGAAAGGUUUGACGAAGUAUAGACUGUCUCAUUUUAUUUGAAAUUAAAAUUUAACUUUUUAGUCAAAAGGCUUAAAUUUAAUUGGGAGAGGAGAAGACCCUAUAGAGCUUUAUAUUAAUUAUUUUAGUUGGUUGUAUAUAAAUUUUAAUUAAAAGUAAUUAAUAUUUUGUUGGGGUGACAAAAAAAUAAAAUUAACUUUUUUAUUUAUUUAACAUUAAUAUAUGAUUAACUGAUCCAUUAUUAUUGAUUAUUAGAUUAAGUUACCUUAGGGAUAACAGCGUAAUCCUCCCUCAGAGUUCAUAUUUACGGGUAGGGCUGGCGACCUCGAUGUUGGAUUAAGAUAAUAAUUAGGUGUAGGCGCUGAAUUUAUAGGUAUGUCUGUCCU